CCCUUAGAUGUUCUGGGCUGCACGCGCGCUACACUGAUGCACUCAACGAGUUUACGACCUUGCCCGAUAGGGUUGGGUAAUCUUUUUAAAAUGCAUCGUGAUGGGGAUAGAUUAUUGCAAUUAUUAAUCUUCAACGAGGAAUUCCUAGUAAGCGCGAGUCAUUAGCUCGUGCUGAUUACGUCCCUGCCCUUUGUACACACCGCCCGUCGCUCCUACCGAUUGAGUGCUCAGGUGAAUAAUUCGGACUGCAGCAAUGUUUGGAUCCCGAACGUUGCAGCGGAAAGUUUAGUGAACCUUAUCACUUAGAGGAAGGAGAAGUCGUAACA
rnacentral:rRNA from 1 species